rnacentral:rRNA from 1 species
AUUGAACGCUGGCGGCAGGCCUAACACAUGCAAGUCGAGCGGAUGAAGGGAGCUUGCUCCUGGAUUCAGCGGCGGACGGGUGAGUAAUGCCUAGGAAUCUGCCUGGUAGUGGGGGAUAACGUCCGGAAACGGGCGCUAAUACCGCAUACGUCCUGAGGGAGAAAGUGGGGGAUCUUCGGACCUCACGCUAUCAGAUGAGCCUAGGUCGGAUUAGCUAGUUGGUGGGGUAAAGGCCUACCAAGGCGACGAUCCGUAACUGGUCUGAGAGGAUGAUCAGUCACACUGGAACUGAGACACGGUCCAGACUCCUACGGGAGGCAGCAGUGGGGAAUAUUGGACAAUGGGCGAAAGCCUGAUCCAGCCAUGCCGCGUGUGUGAAGAAGGUCUUCGGAUUGUAAAGCACUUUAAGUUGGGAGGAAGGGCAGUAAGUUAUUACCUUGCCGUUUUGACGUUACCAACAGAAUAAGCACCGGCUAACUUCGUG